UAACCUGCCCAAGAGAUCGGGAUAACACCUGGAAACAGAUGCUAAUACCGGAUAACAACAGAUGAUGCCUAUCAACUGUUUAAAAGAUGGUUCUGCUAUCACUCUUGGAUGGACCUGCGGUGCAUUAGCUAGUUGGUAGGGUAACGGCCUACCAAGGAGAUGAUGCAUAGCCGAGUUGAGAGACUGAUCGGCCACAUUGGGACUGAGACACGGCCCAAACUCCUACGGGAGGCAGCAGCC
rnacentral:rRNA from 1 species